AUGUGGUUACAGGCACUGCCCAAAGCUGAGGGAUCACCCCAAGAAGGGUUCGGGAGGCACUGGGGGUUUUCCUGGUCAUUCCUCACCCUGGGAAGCCAGCGUGGCCUCUGGGAGGUGCUUUGGAUUCUAUUCCCAUCCACCACUCUUCCCACAUUCCCCCUGCAUCCUUUUCUUUAUAAGAUUUUCUCCUUUGGGUGUUGGUUUUUAGGGAGCUCCUGGCUCAGCCUUCCCGUUCCCGAGCCUUCGGAACCGGAGCAGAGCCCCAAAAAACCCAUGUCCUCUUCUGAGCCCAUCCUGGACCUCAAGGGAGACACGGCAGAAGCACUUCCAGAGAACCUGGGAGGAGCAGGGGAUCCGAGCUCCUGCCAGCCAAGGGACACUCCAGGGAAUGGACAAUCCAUGGAGCACACGGAACCAACACCAGCAGCCCUCGAGGACGCUGUGGAGCCGAAGGAGAACCCCGGGACGGGGCAGGACCCGUCCAACCCCGGGAAUUCUCUUGGAACCUCCGUCCCUGCGGAGCCCAUCCCAGCCCCACCCUCGGAGGAGCCCAUCCCCAGCAGAGACCCUCAGGAGGCGAAGGAUCCCAGCCCCACCAGCUCCCCGCCGUGGCCAGCGGCUCCCGAGGAGCCCCCGGCGCGCCCCAACACCCUGGACUUCUCCAAAGGUGGGAAGGAGCUGGAGGAGGCGAGGCAGGCGGGGCAGCGGCGCGGCAGCGACCGGGCCGCGGUCAAGGAGAACGGCGUGGAGCCGGCUCCGGCCACCAGCACGGCCAGCAGCGAGGAGCGCCGGGCUCUGCAGUCCGAGCUGGGCAGGUGCAUCGAGGAAUUCCGCAGGAUCAAGAUCCCGCACGCCUUUCCCAACAAGAAGCGGCAGUGGCAGAGCGAGCUGCUGAAGAAGUACCAGCUGUGAGAGCAGAUCCCACUCCCGUCCCGUCGGGAAUGGGGAUCUCCAGGCGGCCGGGUGGCUGCUCCAGCCGUGGCACAGGCUGUCCACGCUCCCAAAAUGAGGAGCAGAGGUGGCUGAUGAAGCCCAGGCAGAUGUGGAAAGGGUCACAAGCCUGUUCCCAGCACGGUCAUCGAGGGGAUGCUCAGUGGAGCUGGACGGGGUCAGACAAGGAAGGAUGUCCAGGGUGAUGUUUGGGAGCGGCAGAAAUUCCCACAUUUCUGAGACUGAAUUCCCCUGGUGUUUCAAACAAUAAAAUCGAGUUGGUGUCCA
rnacentral:lncRNA from 1 species